rnacentral:rRNA from 1 species
AUUGAACGCUGGCGGCAUGCUUUACACAUGCAAGUCGAACGGCAGCGCGGGGCAACCUGGCGGCGAGUGGCGAACGGGUGAGUAAUAUAUCGGAACGUACCCAGAAGUGGGGGAUAACGUAGCGAAAGGUACGCUAAUACCGCAUACGAUCUACGGAUGAAAGUAGGGGACCGCAAGGCCUUAUGCUUUUGGAGCGGCCGAUAUCUGAUUAGCUAGUUGGUGAGGUAAAGGCUCACCAAGGCGACGAUCAGUAGCUGGUCUGAGAGGACGACCAGCCACACUGGAACUGAGACACGGUCCAGACUCCUACGGGAGGCAGCAGUGGGGAAUUUUGGACAAUGGGCGCAAGCCUGAUCCAGCAAUGCCGCGUGAGUGAAGAAGGCCUUCGGGUUGUAAAGCUCUUUUGUCAGGGAAGAAACGGUAGAGGCUAAUAUCCUUUGCUAAUGACGGUACCUGAAGAAUAAGCACCGGCUAACUACGUG